rfam:Ixodes scapularis strain Wikel colony gcontig_1108378308568, whole genome shotgun sequence.
GUUAGUAUGGCCGAGCGGUCUAAGGCGCCAGACUUAAGCUCUGGUCUUCACUUGAAGACGUGGGUUCGAAUCCUACUACUAACA